AUGAGAGAGACCCGGGGGAGAGGUGACGAUCCCCAGCGAGGCUGCACAGAUCGGCGAGGGCGGCGACGGACCGAGGGAGGAGUUGUGGGAUCAGCGGGGGUGAAGCGCGCCCCAGUUCACCCGAAUAUUCAGAGUUCGACUCAGACAGAACCGACAUUUAAAGUUCCCAUCUCGCCCGCCUCACUUUCCAUCUGGUCCAAACGGGUGGGGCCGGGCUGGGCUGGGGGCCGGCCUGUGGAGGUGCGUUGGGGGCCUCGGGGAACGGAGCCGCCGCUGAGAUGCUCAUUGCUUCAUUGGGAUUCUCACUGGAUCCAAUCACACUGUCAAGCUUGGAUGGGAGGCCUGUCUCCUCAGUAAGUGGAUACAGCAAACACACACACACACACACACACACACACACACACACACACACACACACAGAGUUUUGAACAUCACUUACGCACACACAGACGGAGACAGACACGUACAGUGCCCACGUACUCGUGCACCUCGCUCUGCCUCCCUGACGCUCUCGACUGCAGAGCAACAGUGAAGCUGUGUUCGUGGCUUGCAGCUCAGGCUCACUCCUGUAUCAUGCAGCCCAGUCUUAUCUACUGAGGGGAAACAAACCUAUACCUCCCUUUCUGUUUUUGUUCCACUAGAGUGAAAACCCCUUUGACAGAUACGGUAGCAUCACGCUGUAGUGUGCCAGUAAACACCAUUAAAAACAUCCAGUGGAUUCCCUUUGCUAAAUUGCUCACAAUUCCAGUAGAUUGUGUUGCUUACACUGCCCGACCUGGUCCCUAGGUGGCACUGUGUCCACUGGGCCAGAGAGGGGCCCCGCUGUUUAUCAUGCGGCUGUGACGGCCCCUGUAAAAAAGCUUUUGCCAGUGCAACCGGAGAUUUAGAAGCCAGAUUAGCACAUUCAUAUUUUGGCAGUUAAUUAGGGGCUGAGGAGCUAAGUGAAAGCUCUGGCUGCCGAGUGAUGGAGCGGAAGAAUGAGAGGAGGUGUGCCCUCUUCACACGAAGACACAAAGUGAAUUAAGUGCACACACAGAAACACACACACACACACACAUACACAUAUAUAUAUGUGUAUAUAUAUAUAUAUGUAUAUAUAUAUAUACAUAUAUGUGUGUGUAUAUAUAUAUGUAUAUAUAUAUAUAUAUAUAUAUAUAUGUGUGUGUGUAUAUAUAUAUAUGUAUAUGUGUAUAUUUAUAUAUGUAUGUAUAUAUAUAUGUAUAUAUGUAUAUAUAUGUAUAUAUAUACACACACACUUGACUGGUCUGCUAUUAGUGUGUCACUGUG
rnacentral:lncRNA from 1 species